UACGGGGGGGGCAAGCGUUGUUCGGAAUUACUGGGCGUAAAGGGCUCGUAGGCGGCCAACUAAGUCGGAUGUGAAAUCCCCAGGCUCAACUUGGGAACUGCAUCCGAUACUGGAUGGCUUGAAUUCGGGAGAGGGAUGCAGAAUUCCAGGUGUAGCGGUGAAAUGCGUAGAUAUCAGGAGGAACACCGGUGGCGAAGGCGGGUCUCUGGGCCGAUAUUGACGCUGAGGAGCGAAAGCGUGGGGAGCGAACAGG
rnacentral:rRNA from 1 species